rnacentral:rRNA from 1 species
UACAGAGGGUGCGAGCGUUAAUCGGAAUCACUGGGCGUAAAGCGCACGUAGGCGGCUUUCUAAGUCAGGGGUGAAAUCCUGGAGCUCAACUCCAGAACUGCCUUUGAUACUGGGAAGCUCGAGUCCGGAAGAGGUGAGUGGAACUCCGAGUGUAGAGGUGAAAUUCGUAGAUAUUCGGAAAAACACCAGUGGCGAAGGCGGCUCACUGGUCCGGUACUGACGCUGAGGUGCGAAAGCGUGGGGAGCAAACAGG